rnacentral:lncRNA from 1 species
UAGUCUUUAGACUCCGCCGUUUCCACGCGCACAUAUCCCAAACUGUUAAACGGUGUAUUUUUUUGAAAAUUUUCUACAAAAAGUUGCUUAAAAAAUUUAGAUUACUCCAUUUUCUAUUUUUUAUAGUUAAUAAUUAAUUAAUCACAUACUAAUCUAUUAAUGUAUUUCCGUGCCGAUUAACCAGCAACCUGCCGAACACAGCCUAUGAAGGUUUGGUUUUUUGGGUUGAAUGGAGUAUGU